rnacentral:rRNA from 1 species
CAGCUCUCCGAGUGGUGUGGAUGUUUAUUGGGCCUAAAGCAUCCGUAGCUGGCUAAGUUAGUCCCUUGUUAAAUCCACCGAAUUAAUCGUUGGAUUGCGGGGGAUACUGCUUAGCUAGGGGACGAGAGAGGCAGACGGUAUUUUUGGGGUAGGGGUGAAAUCCUAUAAUCCCAGGAAGACCACCAGUGGCGAAGGCUGUCUGCUAGAACGCGCCCGACGGUGAGGGAUGAAAGCUGGGGGAGCGAACCGGAUUAGAUACCCGAGUAGUCC